rnacentral:rRNA from 1 species
AUAUAAAAAUUUAUUUUUUAAUAAUUUAAAAAAAAUAAUUUAAAGUUUAAUUAUUUGUUUAGAAAAAAUUUUUUUUAUAAUAGUUUAAAGUAUAGUGAUAAAAUAUUGAAAAAUUUUGAAAAAGUUAAAUAUUUAAAAGAAUAAUUAAAUUUUAGUACCUUGUGUAUCAGGGUUUAUUAAAUAAAAAUUAAUUAAAUUAAUUUUCUCGAUUUUAAAAGAGUUAAAUAAAUAUAUUUUUUAAUAUAAAAUAAUUAUUAAUAAUAUUUAUUUAGUAAUGAAAUGUUAUUCGUUUUUAAAUAUAUCUAGUUUUUUAAGAAAUAAAUUUAAUUUAGUUAAUAAUAAAAAAUUUUUUUUUUUGAAAAAAUUUAUUUUUAUUAUUAUUUAAUAUUUUAAGGGAUAAGCUUUAAAAUAAAUUAAUAAAAUCAAUUUAAUAUUUAAAUAAAUUUAGGAUUAAAAAUUUCUUUUAUUAAUAGUAUAUUAUAAUUAAUUUUUAUUAAUAUUAUUAUUUAUAUUUGGUUUAUAUUUUUAUUAAAAUGAUGUAUUUAAUUUUUAAAUACAAGUGAUAAUGAUAAAAUUAGUAUUAUUAUUUUAUAAAUAUAAUAAAGAUAAUAUAGGUAAAGUUAAGGAAUUCGGCAAAUUUAUUUUUCGCCUGUUUAUUAAAAACAUGUCUUUUUGAUAAUAAUUUAAAGUCUGGCCUGCCCAAUGAUAAUUUAAAUGGCCGCGGUAUUUUGACCGUGCAAAGGUAGCAUAAUCAUUAGUUUUUUAAUUGAAAGCUUGUAUGAAUGGUUAGACGAAAAAAUUACUGUCUCAAUUUUAUUUUAUAAGAAUUUUAUUUUUAAGUUAAAAAGCUUAAAUAUAUUUAAAAGACGAGAAGACCCUAUAGAGUUUUAUAUUAUUUUUAAUUUUUUUUUUAUAAUUUAUAUAAUUAUUAAUAAUAUUUUAUUGGGGUGAUAAUUAAAUUUAAUAAACUUUAUUUUUUUUAUAACAUUUAUUUAUGAUUAUUAUGAUCCAUUUUUUUUUGAUUAUAAGUUAAAAUUACCUUAGGGAUAACAGCGUUAUUUUUUUUAAGAGUUCAUAUCGAAAAAAAAGAUUGCGACCUCGAUGUUGGAUUAAAAUUUAUUUUUGGUGUAGAAGCUAAAUAAUUAAGUCUGUUCGACUUUUAAAAUUUUACAUGAUCUGAGUUUAAACCGGUGUGAGCCAGGUUGGUUUCUAUCUUUAAAUAAAUAAAAUAUUUUAGUACGAAAGGACCAAGUAUUUAUAAUAUUUAUUAGUUAUUUGAAUAUUAUU